AUGUAGGGCAAUCUGCCUUCAAGUAGGGAUACAAAAUGAAUCCUAGCUUUCUCUGCAAGUGAAGCAUUUUGU
rnacentral:pre_miRNA from 1 species